rnacentral:rRNA from 1 species
GAUUAACGCUGGCGGCGUGCCUAACACAUGCAAGUCGAGCGGCAGCGAGUUUUACACUGAAUUCUGGAAGCUUCUAGUUGAAAGAGAAGAUUUAUUCGAGAAUUUUGUGUAAAAUGUCGGCGAGCGGCGGACGGCUGAGUAACGCGUGGGAACGUACCCCAAAGUGAGGGAUAACGCAUCGAAAGGUGUGCUAAUACCGCAUAUGGUCUUCGGAUUAAAGCCUUCGGGCGCUUUGGGAACGGCCUGCGUAAGAUUAGAUAGUUGGUGGGGUAAUGGCCUACCAAGUCGACGAUCUUUAACUGGUUUGAGAGGAUGAUCAGUCAGACUGGAACUGAGACACGGUCCAGACUCCUACGGGAGGCAGCAGUGAGGAAUCUUCCACAAUGGGCGAAAGCCUGAUGGAGCAACGCCGCGUGCAGGAUGAAGGCCUUCGGGUUGUAAACUGCUUUUAUAAGUGAGGAUUAUGACAGUAACUUAUGAAUAAGGAUCGGCUAACUACGUG